UUGACGCUGGCGGCAGGCCUAACACAUGCAAGUCGAGCGGAUGAAGGGAGCUUGCUCCUUGUUUUAGCGGCGGACGGGUGAGUAAUGCUUAGGAAUCUGCCUGUUAGUGGGGGACAACAUUUCGAAAGGAGCGCUAAUACCGCAUACGUCCUACGGGAGAAAGCGGGGGAUCUUCGGACCUUGCGCUAUUAGAUGAGCCUAAGUCGGAUUAGCUAGUUGGUGGGGUAAAGGCYUACCAAGGCGACGAUCYGUAACUGGUCUGAGAGGAUGAUCCGUCACACUGGAACUGAGACACGGUCCAGACUCCUACGGGAGGCAGCAGUGGGGAAUAUUGGACAAUGGGCGCAAGCCUGAUCCAGCCAUGCCGCGUGUGUGAAGAAGGUCUUAUGGUUGUAAAGCACUUUAAGC
rnacentral:rRNA from 1 species